AGUCUAUCUGAUUAUAUUAUAUCAUAUGCACAUAUCUACUCAGAAGAAGCUGCUAUAAGCAUGAAAAGAUCAAAAGAGAUGAAACACUGUAUAGAUCUCAAGUCUGAUACACAAUCUUCAUUUAUAUCAAUAUACAAUCUCUCUGAAACUGAGUCUGUAUGUAUGUAUGUAUUGGUUUAGCGUCCCAGAGAAGACACAGGCAAUGCCUGCACUUCAAAAGCCUCCCGAAGGGCAUGGGGAUGUGCUACGCUGGAGAAAUCUCUAUAUACACAGUAAUGAUAGACUCAGGAUCCAGAUAGCAACUCUUGAGAAGACUCAGUCUAUAUAGACUGUUCAUCCACUUCUGGCCCGACGUAUGGCCAUUCAUGGUAGAGAUAAUCAAAGCACACAAGUGCUACGGCAGGGCGAUUGCUCGUAGUGAGCAGCGGCAGGGUGAUUGCUCGCAGGGAGCAGCGGCAGGGCGAUUGCUCGUAGUGAGCAGCGGCAGGGUGAUUGCUCUCCCAGAGAGCAGAGGC
rnacentral:sRNA from 1 species